CCUUUCUCUUCCUACCUGACCCUUCUACAAACCUUUCUGCCUGGUCUUUAUUGGGUAUGAACCUUUAUGUCUUUGCCCAGCACUAGGUGCCCGGGAUCCCACAGACCAACACAAACAGGGAGGGGCUUCUAUAGGAGGGUCUGAACUGGGGCAGGGUGGAAGUGGUAUUGAACUGGCCUGAGGAGUAGGGGAGGGUGGCAUUUCUGGCAGCAGGCACAUGAACUGUGUCCUAAAGGCUGGCAGAUGUGAGGGAGGCUUGGGGCCUUCAGGGGCCAAGCUGCAGACCUUGGCUUUGGUGCAAGUUUGGCGGCAUGGGUCGUUCCCAGGCAAAGACAGGAGUCAGCUCCAGACUUGAUUAAACCCCCUCCAGGUUUGCUUUCCUUAGGCCUGGUACCCAAACCAGGCAACGUGCCAUUGAUGCCCACGUGUCAAGGCAGUGAGGAGUCCGGGCCGUUGUGGAGCUACGGGGAACUCCAAGAUCCUCUCAAGGAAAGAAAGUGACCAAGAGGAAGUCUUUGGACUAGAUGACCCAACCGGUGUUUCGAGUUAACUACUGAGCAAGCUUUUUAAGAAGCUCAGCUACUCUUGAGAAACCUCUACUCCUGCCACUCAGGGCUCCCUUUCCCUCGAGGCCACAAACAGCCAAACUAAGUAGCGGCUAUAGUGUUCCAAUCUGGAACUCCCUCUCUUGCCCACGGAUCCCAGCAGGUCUUAAGAGUUUGUCCCCCGUGAUUGAACUUGGGUUUUAAACGCCCCUGGGACCCCCACCUCCUUCAUGCCCAGCAGCCUGAAGCUGUGGGAAAGACUGCUUUCGAAGAGGUUUCGUGACACAAACCCAGACUAAAUAAGCCCUGUCCAGUGAGUCCACCGGGAGAAUGGGACGGGCUUGCCUUCGGUCCCAGCAUUAAAAAGCACAAAACCUUGUC